UACGAAGGGGGCUAGCGUUGUUCGGAAUUACUGGGCGUAAAGCGCACGUAGGCGGAUACUUAAGUUAGGGGUGAAAUCCCGGGGCUCAACCCCGGAACUGCCUUUAAUACUGGGUAUCUCGAGUUCGAGAGAGGUGAGUGGAAUUCCGAGUGUAGAGGUGAAAUUCGUAGAUAUUCGGAGGAACACCAGUGGCGAAGGCGGCUCACUGGCUCGAUACUGACGCUGAGGUGCGAAAGCGUGGGGAGCGAACAGG
rnacentral:rRNA from 1 species